ACGGAAGGCAGCAGUGGGGAAUAUUGGGCAAUGGGCGCAAGCCUGACCCAGCGACGCCGCGUGAGUGAAGAAGUAUUUCGGUAUGUAAAGCUCUAUCAGCAGGGAAGAUAAUGACGGUACCUGACUAAGAAGCCCCGGCUAACUACGUGCCAGCAGCCGCGGUAAUACGUAGGGGGCAAGCGUUAUCCGGAUUUACUGGGUGUAAAGGGAGCGUAGACGGUAAUGCAAGUCAGAAGUGAAAGCCCAGGGCUCAACCUUGGGACUGCUUUUGAAACUGUAAUACUAGAGUGCAGGAGAGGUAAGUGGAAUUCCUAGUGUAGCGGUGAAAUGCGUAGAUAUUAGGAGGAACACCAGUGGCGAAGGCGGCUUACUGGACUGUAACUGACGUUGAGGCUCGAAAGCGUGGGGAGCAAACAGGAUUAGAUACCCUGGUA
rnacentral:rRNA from 1 species